rnacentral:tRNA from 1 species
GGGCCGUUAGCUCAGUUGGUAGAGCAGCUGACUCUUAAUCAGCGGGUCGAAGGUUCGAAUCCUUCACGGCCCA